ACAGCAGCCGCCGCGGUAAUACGUAGGGGGCAAGCGUUAUCCGGAAUUACUGGGUGUAAAGGGAGCGUAGACGGUUAAACAAGUCUGAAGUGAAAUGCCGGGGCUCAACCCCGGAGCUGCUCUGGGAACUGUAGAACUGGAGUGCCGGAGGGGUAAGCGGAAUUCCCAGUGUAGCGGUGAAAUGCGUAGAUAUUGGGAGGAACACCGGCGGCGAAGGCGGCUUACUGGACGACAACUGACGUUGAGGCUCGAAGGCGUGGGUAGCAAACAGGAUUAGAUACCCCAGUAGUCCCUGUCUCUUAUAA
rnacentral:rRNA from 1 species